UACGAAGGGGGCUAGCGUUGCUCGGAUUGACUGGGCGUAAAGGGCGCGUAGGCGGUUCGUACAGUCAGACGGUGAAAUUCCUGGGCUCAACCUGGGGGCUGCGUUUGGAUACGUGCGGACUUGAGUGCGGAAGAGGGUCGUGGAAUUCCCAGUGUAGAGGUGAAAUUCGUAGAUAUUGGGAAGAACACCGGUGGCGAAGGCGGCGACCUGGUCCGAUACUGACGCUGAGGCGC
rnacentral:rRNA from 1 species